CUUCAGGGAGAGGGGAGAGGGUACAGACAGGAAAGCCUGGGAUCCAACCUGCUCUCCGGGAGCCCCUGCGGCAUCAGGAUGCCAGGGGAGUUUGCUCCCGAGCCGGGCUGAUUGUGUGGCUGCAGAGAACCCUGGAGCUGAAACCCUCAGGACUCCUGGGAGGAGAGCCGGCUGCCACACCAAAGAACAAGGGCCAGAGGGGGAUGUGAGCUGGAACCUACAAAGCCUUCAGAAGGCAUUCGACGCCUCACUGGAAUACCCAUCAUUUCACAUGUCCCCACUCCCCACUUCUCCCCCUCCACUCCUAUGACACUGCUGGCCCAGCAUGGCAUGCUACAUACAGGUAGGAAUCUGUCCAUAGCAAUAAUCCAAACCUCUUUUCCAACCUGUCACUUCUCUGCUUAAAACCUUCCAAGUGUUCCCAGAGGCCGGGCAAGGAUAGCUCACGCCUGUAAUCCCAACACUUUGGAAGGCCAAGGUGGGAGGAUGGCUUGGGGCCGAAAGUUCGAGACCAGCCUGGGCAACAUAGCAAGACCCCAUCUCUAAAAAAAAACAAACAAACAAAAAAAAAAACUUAAAAAUUAGCUGGGUGUGGUGGUGUGCGCCUAUAGUCCCAGCUACUUGGGAGGCUGUAGGAGGAUCUCUUGAGCCCGGGAGGUGGAGGCUGCAGUGAGGUAAGAUUGCACCACUGCACUCCAGCCUGGGCAAAUAGAGCAAGACCCUGUCUCAAAACGAAAUGUCCCUAGAGCCUCAAGGGAAAGUUCAAACCGCUUCUGGCAUCGACAGCUCCCCUCCGAUCUUAUCUCAGUGUCCCCAUCAGCCACUGCUCUGAGCUAAGCAUCCCCCCAGCAGCCACCCCAUCACUCAGCAUUCCUCUUCUCCACCUCUCCAAGACCCAGCCCUCCUUUUGCAUCACGGCCACUGCUUUGAACUCAUGGGACGCUCCUCCGUGCGUUCCAAGGUAACCCUUGGCGCUCAAUGCCACAUCCCCUUAUUCAUUCAUGCCAGCUCAGUCGCUGCCACUGGCCUUCUGCCUCCAGGAAGGCAUGAGGAGUGCUGUAUCCUUCCGUAUUCCCGCUGUGCCCAGAAGCCCAGUGUUGCCCCGUGAAUGGGCCCCGCCAUGGGCUGCACUGGACACUAGGUGGCGCCAAAGAGGCCACCCCGUUUCUGACCAGCGCCCCGGGCUCAUGGAUUCCCGAGCCAGACAGCCUUGAUCUUUUCUAUAAAAAUAAAGACCUUUCUCAGGCAGCCACCCAGGCAAAA